GGAAGGAAGGAAGGAAGGAAGGAACCUGAUUAGGACAUUUCACACAUCAGAAGAACUCAUCCCAUGGACCAGGCCUGGUCAGCUGUGAAAUAAAAAAGGGAGGAAAUGAUUUUCACACAAGAAAACAAUAUCCACGAACUUAGAAAUGAAUCCAUCGUUGGGGGAAAGCCCAGCAGUUUCCCCGUCCUGCGCACGUGAGGCAGCCGGUCUCACGACUUCCCUGAAGCGUACUAGGCACACCCGUCGUCGGUGAGAUUCCUCAAAGCCAGCUGUGUGCUGGUGCGUGUUUCACAACCGACUCCCGGGGCGGGCAGGCCUGAUUUGUGGCGCUCCCCAAUUUCUGUGGGAUAAACACUUCCACCACAGCCAAUGUCAAGUUACCCAAGGAAAGUCGAGGCGCACAGACCCAGGAAGGGCACAGCGUCGGGGCGCUGCGCCCACACAGACACAACCCACGUCAGUCACCUCGGAAGCGUAGAAAACAGCAAACUGGGGGGAAAUAAUUAGGAAGGGGUGAGUUUCGAAUACAUUUUGUCCUUGUUUUUCA